rnacentral:rRNA from 1 species
CCUACGGGAGGCUGCAGUGGGGAAUAUUGCACAAUGGGGGAAACCCUGAUGCAGCGACGCCGCGUGAGUGAAGAAGUAUUUCGGUAUGUAAAGCUCUAUCAGCAGGGAAGAAGAAAGACGGUACCUGACUAAGAAGCCCCGGCUAACUACGUGCCAGCAGCCGCGGUAAUACGUAGGGGGCAAGCGUUAUCCGGAUUUACUGGGUGUAAAGGGAGCGUAGACGGCUGUGCAAGUCUGAAGUGAAAGCCCAGGGCUCAACCCUGGGACUGCUUUGGAAACUGUGGAGCUAGAGUGCUGGAGAGGUAAGUGGAAUUCCUAGUGUAGCGGUGAAAUGCGUAGAUAUUAGGAGGAACACCAGUGGCGAAGGCGGCUUACUGGACAGUAACUGACGCUGAGGCACGAAAGCGUGGGGAGCGAACAGGAUUAGAUACCCCAGUAGUC